rnacentral:rRNA from 1 species
GAUGAGCGCUGGCGGCGUGCCUAAUACAUGCAAGUCGAGCGAACAGACGAGGAGCUUGCUCCUCUGACGUUAGCGGCGGACGGGUGAGUAACACGUGGAUAACCUACCUAUAAGACUGGGAUAACUUCGGGAAACCGGAGCUAAUACCGGAUAAUAUAUUGAACCGCAUGGUUCAAUAGUGAAAGACGGUUUGCUGUCACUUAUAGAUGGAUCCGCGCCGCAUUAGCUAGUUGGUAAGGUAACGGCUUACCAAGGCAACGAUGCGUAGCCGACCUGAGAGGGUGAUCGGCCACACUGGAACUGAGACACGGUCCAGACUCCUACGGGAGGCAGCAGUAGGGAAUCUUCCGCAAUGGGCGAAAGCCUGACGGAGCAACGCCGCGUGAGUGAUGAAGGUCUUCGGAUCGUAAAACUCUGUUAUUAGGGAAGAACAAAUGUGUAAGUAACUAUGCACGUCUUGACGGUACCUAAUCAGAAAGCCACGGCUAACUACGUG